rnacentral:lncRNA from 1 species
AAGCAGGAUCCAGGAUCCAGGAGCCGCGAUGGGGCCGUGCCGAGCGCUGCCACCGCUGCUGCUGCUCCUGGGGCUGGCAGGAGCCUCCACACCGGAGCCCCACAGAUCCACGGCGGGACGGGAUGGAACCACGCUGGGAUGGGAAGGAACCGCGCCGUCCUCGUCCCUGAGCUACGGGACCGUGGUGGCGGCGGCCGUGGAGCUGCUCAACACCAGGGCCGUCAGUCCCUACGUGCUGCGGCUCCGGGAGGCUCAGCCCCGGCCUGGCUGGGUGAGUGCUGAGCUCUCCCUUUCCAGGAGAAGCUCCAGGACCGGGCAGUGCCGGAUCUGGCCCUUCCCAGGGUGGAUGUGUCCCGUUUUGGGUCUGAGCCCUGAGGGAUCGAGCGCAGCUGAGUUGGGGCUGAGUCUGACCCGUUCCAGGCUGGAUGUGGCUCUGCUUGGGGCUCCUCUGGCCCGUUGUGGAUCCCUGAUGGAUCCCUGAUGGAUCCUUUCCCUUUUCCCAGCCCUCAGACCUGCAGAGCCGGCAGGAGCUGAGCUUCACCCUGGAGGAAACCACGUGCCGGGCACCGGGAAUGGCCACCAGCAACUGCAAGAGCCGCUGGCUGGGGGGGCUGACCUGGUGCCAGGGCUCCGUUUUCCUGGAGGGGCAGCAGCCCACGGUGGAGCUCUCCUGCAAGAAGGCCCCGGCCGUGGUAAGAAGGGGCCGGAACGGCUCCAUGUCCCCUCGGCCAUGGGGGGUCCCCCAGGUCCCCUCCUCACCCCCCCAAAGUCUGACACCGCUCUUUGUUUUCCCAGUUUGGCCAGAGCUGGAAAUCCAAGAUCAAGGAUUUCUUUGGCAAGGUCAAGGAACGUUUCCAGGGGUUCUUCCAGUGCGGGCGGAUCUGGAUCCGGGACAAGCUCAACCUCAAGGCACCCAAACCCUGAGUGGUGUCACUGCUGUGUCCCCUCCCUGUGUCCCCUCCCCGUGUCCCCUCCCCGUGUCCCCUCCUUGUCCCCUCCUUGUGUCCCCUCCUAGUGUCCCCUCCCAGUGUCCCCUCCCCGUGUCCUCUCCCCAGGUUCUUCACUGCCAAUAAAUGUCCCUGCAUCGCUCCCGGUGUCACCCUGGCUGUCCCUGCACCCCAAUGGGGACCCCCGAGCGCUCCCCGAGCCCCCAAAUCCCCCCGUGCCCAGCCAAGGAGAGCUGGGAACGCCCUGGGGACCACGAACGGGGGUGUCACGAGUGGGGGGCGCUCACUGGGGG